rnacentral:tRNA from 1 species
GAGGGGGUGGCAUGGUGGUCGAGUGGUCAAAGGCGCUUGCACCUAGACCCUCUGGCCCAGGUUCAAUUCCUGGCCUCCCCA